UACGUAGGGGGCAAGCGUUGUCCGGAAUCAUUGGGCGUAAAGAGCGUGUAGGCGGCCCGACAGGUCCGUUGUGAAAACUCGAGGCUCAACCUCGAGAUGCCGAUGGAAACCAUUUGGCUAGAGUCCGGAAGAGGAGAGUGGAAUUCCCGGUGUAGCGGUGAAAUGCGCAGAUAUCGGGAAGAACACCCGUGGCUAAGGCGGCUCUCUAGUACGGUACUGACGCUGAGAGCGAAAGCGUGGGGAGCGAACAGG
rnacentral:rRNA from 1 species